GCCCGGAUAGCUCAGCCGGUAGAGCAGGGGAUUGAAAAUCCCCGUGUCCUUGGUUCGAUUCCGAGUCCGGGCA
rnacentral:tRNA from 1 species